AAUGUCCUACGGGAAGCAGCAGUAGGGAAUCUUCGGCGAUGGGGGCAACCCUGACCGAGCAACGCCGCGUGAGUGAAGAAGGUGUUCGGAUCGUAAAGCUCUGUUGUAAGUCAAGAACGGGUGUGAGAGUGGAAAGUUCACACUGUGACGGUAGCUUACCAGAAAGGGACGGCUAACUACGUGCCAGCAGCCGCGGUAAUACGUAGGUCCCGAGCGUUGUCCGGAUUUAUUGGGCGUAAAGCGAGCGCAGGCGGUUUGGUAAGUCUGAAGUUAAAGGCUGUGGCUCAACCAUAAUUCGCUUUGGG
rnacentral:rRNA from 1 species